UACGUAGGGUGCAAGCGUUAUUCGGAAUUACUGGGCGUAAAGCGUGCGCAGGCGGUUUUGUAAGUCUGUCGUGAAAUCCCCGGGCUCAACCUGGGAAUUGCGUUGGAGACUGCAAGGCUGGAGUCUGGCAGAGGGGGGUAGAAUUCCACGUGUAGCAGUGAAAUGCGUAGAGAUGUGGAGGAACACCGAUGGCGAAGGCAGCCCCCUGGGCCAAGACUGACGCUCAUGCACGAAAGCGUGGGGAGCAAACAGG
rnacentral:rRNA from 1 species